CCUACGGGAGGCAGCAGUGAGGAAUAUUGGUCAAUGGGCGCGAGCCUGAACCAGCCAAGUCGCGUGAGGGAGGACGGCCCUACGGGUUGUAAACCUCUUUUGCCGGGGAGCAACGGGCGCCACGUGUGGCGUCACUGAGAGUACCCGGAGAAAAAGCAUCGGCUAACUCCGUGCCAGCAGCCGCGGUAAUACGGAGGAUGCGAGCGUUAUCCGGAUUUAUUGGGUUUAAAGGGAGCGUAGAUGGGUUGUUAAGUCCGUUGGGAAAGUUUGGGGCUCAACCGGAAAAUUGCAAUGGAUACUGGCAGUCUUGAGUACAGUUGAGGCAGGCGGAAUGCGUGGUGUAGCGGUGAAAUGCUUAGAGAUAACGAAGAACACCGAUGGCGAAGGCAGAUUACUAGACUGCCACUGACAUUGAUGCUCGAAAGUGUGGGUAUCAAACAGGAUUAGAUACCCCAGUAGUC
rnacentral:rRNA from 1 species